rnacentral:lncRNA from 1 species
AGGAAUAGAAAAGGUUGGAAAUAAGCCACGAGCAGUGUUUAAUGAGUAAUCUGCAGUAGCAAUGUCUUCUGAAGACUGGUCUUCUUUCCCAAAGUGACAAAGUCUUUCUUUUUUUUUUUUUCCUUCCACCACUACCAGAACAACACAAGACUCCUAAUCCCUUUAGUGCAUAUGGAGGACAUAGAUCUUUUCCCUGGGAGUCUGGCAGUCUUACUUGUCUAAGCAUGAAAUCUGAAAGAGCAAAACAGGGUAGGGAAUUACUCCUUGAGAAUUUCACCAUCUCAGACUACAAGUCACUGUCUGAUCUGCAACAAGUUCCCAAAACAUUACUUUUUGUUUUAAACACUGGCAUAUUGCAAGACUUAAAAGGUAGAGGAAAUGUAUUUUAAUUUUUUUGGAACCACAGAACCACCAUUAACUUCAUGUUCUGCAAUUCUGUCAUUUUAUGGUUUACAUGUGUGUUCUUCACCACUCAGGUAUCCUGUACCGUGGAUAUGCACUCUUCCAUAUUUUCUUUUCAUAAACAAAACCAAGAUUCUUUGCCAGGUACUCAUUUUACGUCAGGCUAUUCUCCAAGUAGAUUAUAGAAUUCAGGUUCUCUCUUAUGUACAUGGGCAGAACUAAAGUCAAAGGAGAUGUGACCACUGCAUGCAAGAAAUGCCUUCCAUUCUGGUGGUUUUGUAAAGUUUGAGAUUCCAACAAACCUUUCUUAAUCCGCUCUGGUUUCAUUUUGCCACAUCACAAAUGAAAACUCUGGUGUCAAUGAAUAUGCAAAAGCCAAAAUUUUGACACCAACAUUUCACUGUGGUAACACUGUCUAUAAAUUAUCAACUGAACAUACUCUGUCAGGAUUCAAAGACAAUAAAAGCAGGUUCUAUGCUCGGUUUGUACAAAAUACGUAAUAUGGAUGUGGAAUGUAUAUUACACCUUCCUUCUGAGAGAUAAAUUUAGUUCAGGACCUUGGCAUAUGCUCCACUUCAGGAAGUGAAGGAAAAUGGAAGAAUUAUUCCCUUCACAAUUACAUUAAAGCGUCCCUUUUUCUUUAUAAUCUCUUGCAUAUAAAACCUUUUACUAUCAAUGAGGGGAAAUGGCUGUAUAUAUACUUUAUAUACAGCCCUCCAUGUUGUGACAGCUUUUUCUUUCAGCCAGUGGUCGAGGAUAAUCACGGAAGGAUUACCCAUCUGUUCUUGCCAUGUGGCAUUCUGUCUCAGUAAGGAGAUACUGCAGUCCGCAGCUUCCUGCAGUUCUUUUUUUUUCUGAUGUUCUCUCAUUAACUAAAAAUUGUUUUAUUAUCCAUCCGAGUUGCUAAGUUGGAAAGUCUGGAAGACUCAUGAAGGUGACCUACUUUGGAUUAUCUGAAUUAGAACUAUCCGCUGCCUGUUGCAAAUAGCAUUUUGUUUAGAUGCAGAAGGUUUCUUUGGCUUGGGCUUUCAUUCUAGGGUUUGCUUUUUCUGUCCACCUGAUGGAAAAAAACAAGUGGUACACAAAGAAGAGUAAUCAAAGGAGAAGAGAUGGAAAAAAGAGAUUUUUUCACUAAGAGUGACUCUGUAGGUUGUGUUUAGAUGAUUAGCCAGUUUUUCGGAACACCCAACAGUUUUUAGACUACAUUUUCUAUGAUGUCAUACCAGUGAAAAGUAUAUGUAAAGAUUUAUCCCAGUAACCACCUGAAACAUGUUCUAUGUGUCUAAACUUCUACUGAGAUAUCACUAUCACUUGCUACAGGAAUAAUAACUAGAAAGGAAACAAGGUUUUCAAGAAGAUUUCCAUAGAUUUUCAUUUUUCCUAACACUGGAAAAUACAGUACUUUAAAGACAAAGUUUUAUUCUUAACCUCCUGAUAUGAUACAAAUUCAUCUGUAUGAAAGCUUGCUCUGAAAACAUAUCUGAUUAAAUAGUGUGACUGUUUUUCGUAAACAGAGCCAUUUUGUGGUAAUUGAUUUAAUACAAGCUUUUCUGUCAGGAAACAUUGUUUAUAAUGGCAUGUCAAACCCAGUAUUGGCAGCCUCAACAGAUCAUUUGCUACUACCAAUGCACUUGUGUCCCUUUUGCACACUGGGCAGUCCCACAGAACAGAACGUGUCACUCUUUGCCAAUGUGUGACAGUGCAUUUGCCUGAUCUUCUGCACAAAGUCUCCAAACCCUUGGACAAAGCUUCCCAGGGCAGGAAGUGGGAGAAGUGCAUUUGUGCCAUUGUCCCUGGGAGAGGGGAAUGAACAGGUAGUUUGAAUUCCUUCUUCAGUUUCUAACAGCUGAGUUGGCAAUAGAGUGCUUCAGCUUCCCUCUGACACUGGUCUGCCAACACCAUGGGCUGUGUGGGAUAUUACACAGCGAAGACAAUUAUACAUAUUUAAGCAAACAAACUUGAUAACUAUCAUUAAUCUUCCUGUAUUUAGAAAGUCAUUAGCAAAAGCAGGUGCAAAAACCUGCUUGGCUGUAAUUUGGAUGUUACAAGAAAAGGAAGAUUUCAGACAAGGUAUUUGAUGUGCCUUAAAAGAUAUACGGGGUUUUUUUUGUAAGAGUAAGGCAUUAGUCCAUGUAUGAAAAAGAUGACUGUGUCAUACAUUUUAUCUUCUGAGCUGAAAGGGGUUCACAAGGAUCAUCAAGUCCAAGUGAAUGGCCCAGACACAGAAAUCCAACCCAAAACCUUGGCACUAUUAGCACCAUGCUCCAACUGAGUCAAUCCCAGUUUUGGUCUGUAUGGUUUGGGCUUUGUAAUGAUUUCUGCUUUGAUGAGCUUGAGGGCUGGAAGGAAAAAGAGCUGGUAAACCUAUCUGUCCACAUCAGCAAGCUCACACAAAACACAGCAGCUCCCUGCAAUUUGCAGAGCUGUGCUGCUGACCGUGCCUGAGCAGAGGCUAUGCUCAGUGCUGGCUUGCACACACUUGGAAUCAGUGCUUUGUCUGCUGGUGUGUCAGCCUGCAGCUGCACAAGUCAGGUGUGCUUGGACACGGCCCAGUUACACCACAGUACAGCACAUACUAUUGUAACCACGUUUAAGGAGAGGGCAUGGUUUAGUGCCCACCAUUGCAGCUCCAUCAAUUUGAAAAUUGAUUCUCAUCUCACAUAGGAGCGCUGUGGAUGUGCUGACUCUUCAGUGGGGGCUGCUGGAGGCACAGGCUUGUUUGCUCUGUGGUCUCACUGAGGGAGAUACUAAAUUCUGCUGCUUCUACUUCAUUCAGAUCUGCCUUAUAAGACAGAGAUAUUUACAUGACUGCAGUUCUACCUUUUGAACAGUACAGUUCUUGGCUGACAACUCAGUGCUGAAAUUACUGGUUCCUUCCACCUAUUUCAUUAUUAAGCUGUGGGGAUGACACACAUCUGACAACUCAUUUGCCUGGAGAACGCUGUGCUCCAAAAGGCCAGGAGGUGUUUGCCACUGUUGUGGUGGUGAGGUGACGUGCAGGAGACACUGCCUGUGUAGUUCAUUGCAGAACUGCUCAAAUACCUCAAUACCUGUAUGCACAAAACCCAGGAUAUACAUGUAUGGGCCUUUUGAAUAGACAAGUAGGUGCCAUGGAUUAAAGUGUAGCUCACAGAAUACAGAUUAGGGAUUGGAAUUUAAAUUGCAGUACUUUGCCCCAGGACUGAUGCUAAAAGGUGUUACAUUUCUUGUACAGGCAGAGAAAAUUAAGAAAAGAAACUAAAUAUUAUUCAGUGAAAGGGAAAAUAAGCAGACCCUACCUAAGUGGUUACACUGUGCUUUUAAAACAAUUCAAGUAUUCUCCAAAUUACAGCAAAAGAUAAAUUCUUCAGGAAAUCCAUAACAAGUUAUUUGUAUAUAUUGUGCAAGUCACCCGUAAGAUCAAACAAAAUGUUAUGAUGAACUUUAAUCCAACUUCUGAAUUGUAGUAAAUUUUGACAGCACAUGAAUGAUCCACUUCGACACAAUCUGCAUUUUCAACAAAGUGACUGAUGUGACAUAUGGCUUUUUUGCCCUGGGAUGGCUUCUAGUAUUGCAAUGUAAUAGUGGCACACACCUUUCUUGAUUAGUGAAGUUUUGCAUUAGAUAUUUCUUUCGAUGAAAAGUAUUACAAUAAAAUAUUUUAUAUUGCUCAUUAUGUAAAUAAGCACCUGAAAUUCCUAUAAAUUCAAGCAAUUAGGUCUCAACCCAGGAAAGCACUUAAUGACAUGUAUGGUCCCAUUGAAUCUGGGGACAUAUGCAAGGGCUUCACUCAAAACAUGUAAUUAGGAGCUUUGCUGAGUUAAGGCCUUACAAAAUGAUGCUAUGCAGAUCAGCUACUAUUCAUAAAAUAUAAUUUAGCGACUAAGGUAAUUUGCUUGUUAGCCAAAAAAGAGGCUCUAGACUCCUUCUGAAAAAAUUAUAUACAGGCAGAUUUCACAUUGCUAUUACCUCCUUAACCCUGAUCCUCAGAUUUACACAACUGUUGAUGAGACUGUAGCUGAUCCUAUACAACAUUGAAACUUCUCAAAUGGCCACAUUCUUGCCUGGAAACGGAACCAACAAAUUUGGUACAGCUAGAUGAACUCCACUGAAACAGAUUCUUACCUCAGACUUUGAUUUACAUGAGCACAGAUGAAAAAUGCAAAGAGGAUCUGUAUCAUUUAUUUUUAAGCCCCAUGUGGUGAAGAAAAAGGCAUAUUAUGCAUUGCAUGCAUUAUUCUCUACUUUGUGCUGUAUAUAAUUGGCAGAGCUUUUCAGUGAAAAAACUAUCUGGCCAAAUUCUCAGAGCCUCGUGCUCUGCAAAAAGCUGUCUUAAGUUAAUCUAUAUUAGGAGUAAUAUUCAAGUUGACUGCACUCAUAUGAAAAAUGUAUUUUAAAAGGUCUAGAAGAUACAAUCUGCUAUUUCUUGCCUGUCUUUUUUCCCUGCUGUUGUUGGUCUCUCACGGGAUUUCUUGCAGAGUGGUUAAGUGAUCUAUACUGAGGUUUCAAAAGCAAAGAUAAUAGGAAUUCUCUUCAUGGGUUAAACACUUAACUGCUUUAAUACAAGAUGUGUAGGAGCAGCCCCUAAUAACAUUCAAAUCUUGUUAUUGCUGUGCUUCAGUAUAGGAUAUACUUGGUUUUGUGGCUGCAAGAAGCAAUUGCCAGAGAUGAUUUUAAAUCCUGAACAGCAAAUAAAUCCCAGCACAUGGAAAAGAUGCCUGAUUUUGCUCUUACAGCAGGGCAUCUUUGGACUUCACCACGCUGGCUCCUGACUUACAGCAAUGAAAGCGACCCAGAGCAGUCAGUGCUGGUACCAUACCUACCCUGGGGUCUGGCUGCAGGGGCACCAGCUCUUAACUACACAUUGGCCUAAUAUUUCUAACCCUUCUUUUGCAAAACACUGCUGCCUGUUCUUAGGGUCUUGGCCAUUCCCCUAAAAACAGUAUUGUGGCAAGCUCUAAGCCUUCAGUAUAUUGGAAUCACAUGUCCAACUUAUUUUUCUUACAUUCUCCAAGGCUAGCUAGUACUUGUCACCAUUCCCUGGUGGAGACAAUUCUACUGAAAACAUUUACAGGAACACUCCUACAGUUCCUCAAGCAAAUUUGUCUGACACAGCUCGGACUAUCCAUUUAUAAAUUUUAAACUUACCCAGCUGGCUCUGUCAGAAGCCUAUUAGGCAGCAUUCUCACAAACUGCUCUCCUUCAGAGUAGUAAAGACUAUUUGAGAAUGGUGAUUUUGUCCUCUGACACAGCUGGACUGGAAAGGAAGUGGAAAUGAGUGAAAAGAGCAACCCCUCCCCAGGUUUCUAAGUAAUUGUGCAAAAGGGCUAAAAAACCACUUAGUCUUACUGUGGAGAAAUGAAAAUGAGCAUUCUGAAAAAGGAGAAACACUUCUGGCUCUCUUGUUCUUUGUCUCACAUUGCCAUUUGCUUCCUUCUCUGGACUAACCUGCAAAAUAUUACCAAGCACAGCUGUCACAGGAAAUCUUGUGGUGGAGAAAGUGCUGUACCACCCCUUGCUAAAAGUCAAUGAGUACACCAUCCAAGGCCUUAACUCAGCAUGAGGUCACAUUGGAAAUGGUAAAUUCUGUGACACAGACUAUCUGUGCUCUGUCGUAAGGGGAAAAAAAGAUAACUGAAAAUAUGUAUUAUAUAUCUUAGGACAAUAUUAGUAGAUAUGCUCAUGGCCUUGAAAUAUACAUAAGGCUGUUGCAAACAGAAAAGCAAUUAAUUGUUCUGAGUUCAAUUACAACAAGAAAAUGUUUAGAAAGACACUAAUAAAACUUUCUAGGCACUGUUUAAAUCAUUUAGGGAAGUGUGAGGUUUUCCAAAAACAGUUUAGAUUAAUAAACUGUUGGAAUGGCUUCAGUGCUUCUGAUUUUCCCUGAGGACAAAAUGAGUUUUCAGGAUCCCUUCCAUUCCAAUAUGUAGCAAUACACAGAACGUGCUAGCAGGUGAACCAAAGGAGCAGGAGCCUGCCCAUUCCACGUGGAAACACAGAUGAACUUGACGUUUCCUAUCUGCAAAUCAGGAUGCUAGAAAAAUAAACACAAUAUCAAUAGAUAGUAUUAUUUCAUUGAAAGACUCUAGAGAAACACUUGCAAUGAGAAGAUCCAAUCGUGCCUUAAGAAAUGCUAGCAAAGAGCAGAAACAGGAGGCCUGAAUUCAGUGUUUGUGGCAGCUGGCGUUUGCCACCCCAGCGGGCAGCGGCAGCGAGGUCGGGCAGUGCAAGGAGCUCCAGCCUGUGGGCAGCUCCUCUGCAUCCCUCCUGUGGAGGUUAAUUCAGCUUUUACCUGACUGAGCUCACCCUCUGGCUGCAGCACUCAUCCUGCAUGCAGAUCCCUGGCUCUCUCUUGCACGUUGCAUGCACUGCAACGGCGUGGCCGAGAUUGCGCCUCUCCUUCAGAAUUCAUGUUAGCAAACAGCUAAAUACGGCUUUUGGCCGCCAAAUUUCAGUUUCAUUGCUGUCAGAACAUCACUUAUCAUGGCUGGGCUAUAAUUUUCAGGCUUGUAAAACCUCAAUUGUCAUGUUUGGAUUUUCUUUAACACUUAUUAUAAAUGCAUGAAUUUGAUUUGUGUAGAAUGGAAUGACUCUCAGUGGCUCAGGGAUUUGGCAAAAAGCAUCAUACAUUUCAUCAAAAUUCUGUUUGGCCUAGAGAGGCGUUACAAUUCUAGAUAAAAAAUGUGCUUUUUUAAUGCAGAAGUAAUUUGUAAUAGAAUGUUCCAAAAUAAUUCUGUAUUAAAGAAGAACUGAAACAAAACCAACAUGAUCUUUUCCUCUCCACCAUGGGAAUUAAUUCAGAUUGAGAAAAUGGAAUUGAGAGAAUCUGAUUUGACACAUUUUGCAAAAUGCAUGGUGGGUGAGUGCAGGGGAAGGAAGCAGUUCCAUCACCUUGAGCAGGAGGCCAAGAAGUGAGCACAUACAGUUCCUUGCAGUAAUCCUUGGAGCUGUCUAGGAGCCUUAGGUAGCAUUAGGGAGCAGCAACAUUUGUGUAAAUCAUAAUUAGUAACAAAGGAAAUUACAGUGAGAGCUCUUUGGUAAACAGAAAGACUGCCGAAAAUUGCUUCCUUUUAGUAGGACAAUUUGGGUUAUUUAUAGGCAUCUAAACAUUUAGGAAAAUCUAGGAAGAAUCUUAAAAUGCCAUAUUUCUAAAACAAAAGAUAAAAUUUUACCCUUUUUGGGUCAUAUAACUUGGAGCUAUAUUUACAUUUGGUUGAAGCAUUUGACUAAGCAAAUACAUAUGUAUGAGGUCUUAUUUUUACACUUAAUUUUGGUGUUUUGGUAAAUGCAAAUGAUGGAAGAAGUUGAUAUGAAUAAAUUGGCACCAGCUUAGAAGUCACCUCAUUGCAAAGCAAGAGACAUUUGGGAUUGUUCAUCACCUUGCUACAGGGAAAGCUUCUGGUGUUAAGUCAGUCAGCCACAUGUUAUGUAUCAGGAAUGUUUUCAACUCUAGGCUGAGGAACUACAAGCUCUUGAAGGAGCCAAGAAACACAUGUAAUACUUGAGCAUGUUUACUGUAAAAUGAAGGGCUAUUUUAUCUCAAUCAAAUAAACCAGCAAGUGAACUGAAAAUCUGAUACUGAAAUAAAUCCAAUUUACUCUCGUGUAAUUGCUUAUUUGAUUCUCAACUAUGACAUGAAGUUAGAAAACAAAUUGAUAUUCUGUCACUUCUGUUUCAGUAAACUUAACUCAAACAAGUUGCCCUUUAGGUGCAUCUUGGAUGGAACGGUACUUUAUCUUCAUCCCAAGGAAAUCAGUGUAUUAAAUUUGUUUGAAAAAUUAUUAUCCAAAUCAUGACUCCUUUUCAGACAGUGUUUGAACUGCAUACUAAAAAGGCCAAAUUUCCCCUGAGAGCCAGCACAAGCACAGAGAAGAUAAGUACUGUAGUAUAUCCUCCCCCUGCAAGAAAAUGUACCAGCAGCAAAGACACAACAGAGCCACGCACAGAAACUGCAGAGAUCUUGUGGGCAUGGGCAUCUUCCUCUUUCCUCAUGGCCAAAAUACCAUCCUGAUGUGACCCAGCAUUUAAAGAAUAAGCUAAAUUAACCCUAUACUGUCUCAGCCAUGAUCAGAAUACUAAAUCCAGCUCCACAUCCACAGUGGGUGAAGUUAAUAAACCGAAAGGUGUCAAAACCAAAGUGAAAAUGAAAGGGAAGGGGAUAGGAGGAACACCCUUUCUGCUGAGAAGUUCUACGGGCUGAAAAUGUUUGAUAAAAUAAAAGAGACUCAAGAUUCACACCAAAAAAAAAAAAAAAAAAAAA